GGCAGGCACACGUCACCGGCGUCACGGGCAUCACGGCUUGGAUCGACCGAAGCAGCUGGGCGGCAGGUGCUCCGUGGUACGUGGUAGGUGCCCACGCAGCUUGGGAACGAUGGCAGAAGACGAGAUCGACCCAGAACAGAUCGAUAUUGGUGGAGAAAAAAAAAAUUGGUUCGUAAGGACGAGUUGCAGCGUCCGGAGACCUAAACCUAGGCUCUAAUACCAUGUUAGGAAAGCAACUUAUCUUUAUUGAAGGCCCAAGGGGCAUAUAUAUAUUACACAUGACUUGAGGUGCAAGGAAACUAAACAUAGACUAAUAAGGACUCCUAGACCAAUACUAAUACUCCUUAACAGAACUUAUGCUGUAUGUUAUGCGCGUAAAUAACUCAUGAGCGCCUGUCAUGGGCCUAUAGCCCUACAACUACAGGGGACACACCAGGCCAAGGCAGGGCAUCUCAAUUGAACAUCUUUAUCUCCUGGGGAUUUGUUAGGAUUAGAUUCCAGGUAAAGAAUAUUAUUUCCAGAAGUUGGAGAUAGCCUGCUAAGGGGAUGAGACAGCCACCACAGGGAGGGCACAUAUCUAUUAUCAGUUAAUCAGAGAAUAAUCCAUUCUGUUUCCAUACUCCUCCUUUCUGUGAUGCAACAUUUUCCUGCCAUUUUUGUUGCUGUAUCGCUGACAACAUUGUUAGUUUUAUUACUAAGUACUCCCUCUGUAUCUUUUUAUAAGAUGUUUUUAGAGUCUAUGACAGUGUUAAAAAAACUUCUUACAUUAAGUUACAGAGGGACUAGUUUUUAUGCGAACGGUGUUACUUGCUACUCAAGUUAUUCAUAUUGUUAAUAGAAGUUGCCUGUUAGAGAGUAGUAUGUCACUAGCUUUGCCUGCUUUUAACCUUCUUUGAAAUGCGAGCAAUUUUAACAUGCUCCCUCUUACCCCCUCUUUUCACAUGGGAGGUAAGAAGGUAAGAGUUAAUCAGACCACUACUUACUCAAAUCAAUGGUUCAGAUCUAUUAUGCACUCUUACCUCUCAUGUGAAAAGGGGAGGUAAGAGGGACCAUGCUAAAAUUUGUCUUGAAAUGAUGAUAUUCUGCAAGUCAGUAACAAUGUUGCAUUGCAGGGUCCUUGAAGGGAGCACAGACCAAGGGUCUACCUGGAAUACUAUUGAUGCUCGGAGUUCUGUAAUCUUUGGCAGCCGUUUCUGUAGGAAAUCAUUUACUGUUGACAAGAGAUACAAAGCAAAUGUACUUCGGUUUCGGUUUCUACGUGGGAGAGAAUCUAGUGCCAAUCCAAGGUUUCAAAUAGGAUCCAUCGACUUCUACGGGGAAACACACAUGGCCUGAUCGCAGGUGUUAAUUUGUGUGUACAAAACCCAACAAAACCUUGUCGAAUCAUGCACGUAUCAUGACCAGUACUAUAUAUGCAACCAAUAAUUGUACUGAUUAUAUUGGAUGAUUGUAAAUUCCGGUUCUACUCUGGAAGAGGUUCUUUUCCUUUCAA